rnacentral:lncRNA from 1 species
AUGGGCAAAUGUUUGUUUAAUGACAAGUGGUUGGAGGACGAAAAGUAUCGGGGGUGGCUGAAGAAAACAGCCAGUAAUCAUGAAGCGAGGUGUGCUUUAUGUAAAAAGACGAUAAAGCUGGGGACAAUGGGCCACAUAGCGCUCGAUUCACACAUGAAAGCAGAGAAGCACAAGAAGUGUGUGUCGUCGCAAGCAAGUAGUUUGCCCAUAAGUAUGUUCUCAUCGAGCACUUCGACCUCUCAGCCUUCCACUUCAAGCAAUGCCUUCGGCAGCUUUGCGAAUGUAGCUACACUUAAGGCCGAAAUACUGUGGGUAUUUCAAACCGUAAGCCGCCACAACUCGUACACCUCAAAUGAGGACAUCCACCUAGUUUUUCAAGCAAUGUUCCCUGACUCAGAGUGUGCGAGUACGUUCACAUGUGGAAGGGAUAAAACCGCAUAUUUAGCACGAUUUGGUGUUGCCCCAUACAUAAAGAAGGAACUCAUUUCACGGGCAAACAAGGAUGCUUUCAUCAUAAUGUUCGAUGAGUCCAUGAACACAACAACGAAAACUAAACAGUUGGACUUGCACGUCAGAUGUUGGUCAACUGACGAGACCGGGACCCCGAUUGUCAGGUCUCGCUAUCUGGGUUCUCAGUUUUUGGGCCACUCAACGGCAGAAGACUUGCUGGAACAUUUUAAGGAGGGCACCAAGGAACUUAAUUUACGGAACUUGCUUUCUGUAUCAAUGGAUGGACCUGCAGUCAAUUGGAAAUUCAUGGAUCUCCUACAAUUGGAACAUGGAGAACAGUUUGGGGGGAUUCAACUCCAAGUGCAAGAAGAGAGGAUUUCACAUCUGCAACACUGUCGUCCACAUUCCCCUUAUCCUUCUGUGGCCAUCGCUGGCUCGAAAAUGUGCCUGCUGCAGAGAGGGCCAUUGAAAUUUGGCCCUCUAUUGAGAAGUUUGUUGACCAAGUGUCAACAAAGAAGCAAGAGUCUUUCAACCAUUUCUGGAAAAAUAUCAAAAAGAUGCUCCCAUGAUGCCCUUCCUGUGGAAUGA